UGAGGAAUAUUGGGCAAUGCCCGCAAGGGUGACCCAGCAACGCCGCGUGGAGGAUGAAUGUCGUAAGAUUGUAAACUCCUGUUAGAGGGGAAGAAUAGUACCGGUUGGACCGGUAUAUGACUGUACCCUCAGAGAAAGCCCCGGCUAACUACGUGCCAGCAGCCGCGGUAAUACGUAGGGGGCAAGCGUUGUCCGGAUUUACUGGGUGUAAAGGGCGCGCAGGCGGGAUAAAAAGUCAGUGGUGAAAUCCUACAGCUUAACUGUAGAACGGCCUUUGAUACUUUUAUUCUUGAGUUCGGGAGAGAGAGACGGAAUGCCAGGUGUAGUGGUGAAAUACGUAGAUAUCUGGAAGAACACCAGUUGCGAAGGCGGUCUCUUGGUCCGACACUGACGCUGAGGCGCGAAAGCGUGGGGAGCAAACA
rnacentral:rRNA from 1 species